GGCCUCCUGCGCGAAGCGCGCCAGCGCGCGGGCCGCCGCCUCGGCCUCCUCUCGCUGCCGGGCCUCGUCGUCUAGGCGCUGGCGCACGUGCGCGAUGUCCUCGAGCAGGUGCUCCUGCUCCAGGCGUAGCUGACCGCGCGCCGCGCCCAGGCGCAGCACCGCGCCGCGCAUCUCGCGGACCUCGCGCUCGUACAGCUCGCCCAUAGCGGAGCGGCCCGCCUGCUGCUGCCGCAGCGCCGCAGCCUCGCCCUCCAGGCUGCGGUUGUGCGCCUCCAGCUGCCGCACCUUGUCGAUGUACCCGGCGAAGCGGUCGUUCAGCGCCUGCAGCUGCUCCUUCUCACUGCGUGAGGUGGCCACCGCCACCAUGCAGCCCUCCGGCCCGUUGCUCAGCGUGUCCAGCGAGUCGGUGCUUGAGGCGGCGCCUGCGCCACGGAAGCGGCUGGGCGAGGCGGACACGGAGCUCACGGACGUCCGUGUCCACGAGUGGAAGCCGCUGGAGGAGCCAGCGGCGGAGCGCGUCCCGCCUGCGCCACCCUUUCGGGCUAGCGCGUAGUGGAGGCUGCCGCCGCCAUGCAGCGGCGCGAACGGGGCGCCCAGCAGCGCGUCCGCGCCGCCGAAGCUCAUCAUGGCCUGAGCAGUAGAGAUGGGGUUUCACCGUGUUAACCAGGAAUGUCUCGAUCUCCUGACCUCGUGAUCCACCCGCCUCAGCCUCCCAAAGUGUUGGGAUUACAGGCGUGAGCUACCACGCCCGGCCCUAGGCUCCACAACUCUAAGAAGCUUUGCCUCACAACAUUGUCAUCAAACCCACUUUCGGCGGUGCAGUGGCUCACACCUCUAAUCCCAGCACUUUGGGCGGCCAAGCGAGAGGAUCGCUUGAGCCCAAGAGCUCGAGACCAGCCCAGGCAACACAGAAAAACCUCAUUUCUACAAAAAAUAAAAUAAAAUAAAAAUAGCUGGGUGUGGUGGCGCGCCUGUGGUCCCAGCUCCUCGGGAGGCUGAGGUGGGAGGAUCGCUUAAACCUGGAGAGGCGGAGGUUGCAGUGAGCCGAGAUCACGCCACGGCACUCCAGCCUCGGCAACAGAGCGAGACCCUGUCACAAACGAACACUCUCCAGAGGGGGAAACCGAGGCCCUGGGACUGCAGAACCGGUUUCUCUGCCUCGGCAUACUGCCUCGGCUGGCUCUGCGCUUGAUAGAAUCGCGCCAGCAACAGCGCCCCCUGCAGGCGACGGCGGGCACGCCUGCGUCACAGCCAUCCCCGCCCUUCCGCAGUGGGAACGCCCGAAUGCUUCAUCCGGCCUCGGAAGAUUGAAGAGCGCUCCUCCAAACUGGCUCAGGGAAGCCGGGCGCGCCGCCUUCAGCCCCGCCUUGGCCGCCGCGGCGUCGCAUCAGUGGCAUCCCCAGGGGCUGCAGGAAGGUAGCCGUAGCCUUGGCUGUCGUGGCUUCCCUCAUCGUAACGGCCUGGGGGCAGCGGUGCUCAAAGAACUCAGGGGGUGGGGCUCAGGUAGGGGCAUGGCCGGUGCUCUUCCUAGGGGCGGGAUCCUGGGAAAGGGGAUCGUCCCAGAAGGACCCAGCCACAAGCGAGGACACCGGUGCAUCAAGCCCUGGCGCCUGUGUUUCCGUGAACAGCGCCCUUCUCCUCCUCCCCAGACAUUGGUCCUGGCACCUGUGUGUCCGUGGGCAGCAGCCUCUUCCUCCUCCCCAGACCUCAGUUUCUGCACGUGUGAAAAGGGGGCUCUUCCAAGACUCUUACAUGAAUGCAAAAAUCGGGAUUUCGUCCAGCAUGCUCAGAAUUGUCGACCCUACACAGGCACCUGAGAAAUCAGAGCUGAGUCAGGAGAGCCGGUGUGGAUGUACUGGGAGCUCCUUCCCUUGCUGCGUCAGCACUCUUGAGACUGGAGAGCCCUGGAGGUUGGGGACCGGCCACUUGCUGGUGGACCAGACUCCCUGCAGUCUGGGAUGGUGACAGACAUGAGACAUGGCUGUGGAAGUAAUUGGUAACAGUAGUAGCCCGCAUUUAUUGAGCACUGACUAUGUGCUUGGCUUUGUGUGAAGGCCAGUCACAUGCAUUAUUUCCCCCUCCCACAGCCUUGUCUGGUGGGUACUGCUAUUCUGUCCCCAGUUUACUGAUGAGACAUUUGAGGCCCAGAGUUGCUGGGUAGUAACCAGUCCAAAGUCACCCUGCUGACAAGUAGCUGAAGCAGUAGUCCCCAGUCUUACCUACUAUACUGUACUGAGAAAGGUUUGACCUGGAAGGCAGAAUGGCAGAGGGGGAAAUGACAAGGUUCUAGCAGUAUUAAUAAUAGAUACCAUGCAUUGAGCACCCACUAAGUGCUGGGUGCUGGCCCAAGGGCAUUUCAUGAAUCAUUUAUCCUCCUGACAGUGAACCCUAUACUGUAAAUUUUAUUUCCAUUUCAAAGGUGAAGCUCGGAGAAGUCACUUUAUAUGCCUUAGGGCACAUAUAGUAAAAAACUAACUUUUCGAUUCAUUGAUGGUGCAUUCUGCCUGCCUGCAUGUCACUCUUAGGCAUAUUCCACUCUUCUCUGAGUCAAGCUUUCUCCUACUGUGAAAUGAGAGGCUUGGACUGGGAGACUUUGAAUGUUCUUUCCCCAGCCGAUGUUGUUUGAUUUUAGGGAGUUUUGACAUGAAUGUUGGAGAUCUGGAUUUGAGGAUUACAUUUGUUCCUAAUUAACUGUAAUUUAGGCACAUCUCUGCAUCUCUGGGCUUCAGUUUCCGCAUUAGUAAAAGGUAAGACUAGACCAGGCAUGUUGGCUCAUGUCUGUAAUCCCAGAACUUUGGGAGGCUGAGGAGGAAGGAGGAUUGCUUGAAGCCAGGAGUUUGAGUCCAGCCUGGGCAACAAAACAAGACCCUGUCUCUACAAUAAAAAAAAAUUAAAAAGUUCAAAUUAGCCAGGUGCAGUGGCUCAUGCUUGAAGUCCCAGCUACUUGGAGAGCUGAGGUGGGAUACUCACUUGAGCCCAGGAGUUUGAGGCUGCAGUGAGCUAUAAUCAUGCCACUGCGCUCUAUCCUGGGCAACAGAGCGAGGCCCCGUCUCUAAAAAGAAAAUGGGCUGGGCACGGUGACUCACACCUGUAAUCCUAACACUUUGGGUGGCUGAGGUGGGAGGAUCACUUGAUCCCAGGAGUUUGAGACCAGCCUGGGCAACAUGGCAAAACCCUGUCUCUACGAAAAAUACAAAAAACUGGCUAGGCAUGGUGACAUGUACCUGUGGUUCCAGCUAUCUAGCUAUCCGGGAGGUGGAGGCAGAAGGAUCACCUGAGCCCAGGAGGUUGAGACUGCAGUGAUCCAUGAUCACGCCACAGCCUUGGCAACAGAGUGAGACCCUGUCUCAAAAAAAAAGAAAAAAAAAUUACAGAGAUUAGCAUUUCCAAUCACCAGAGUGCCUUCUGGCUUGAAUAUUUUAUGACUGCAGAUGAAGAGACAACCUGAGGUUCAGCAAACUGCAUCCUCUGAGAAAGUCUAAUGAACGUAAAUCUGCUACCUUACUCAGAAUGUCCCUGGCACAAGUUUCCAAGGAUAGACCCUCUGUGUGAAGGGGAGCAGCUGCCUUUGAGCAAUCAGCAGUAACUGCUUGGGGAGGCUUAGUCCCCUAAUAGUUCAGAAGUCACCUCCAAGGUCAGACGGACCCACAGCUGAACGCCAACACUUCCACUUCUCGGAAAGCCCAACGUGUAAACUGAUGACAGACUAUCCUGGAGGAAGAGGUGGGGCAGCCUGGAGUUUUCCUCUGGACAUCCUGAGAGGGAUACUGAAGCACUCAGGAGGGGUCUUAGACCUGCCCAAGCUCACUCACACAGUUUGAGAAGAGCUGCGCUUAGACCACAGGCCUCUUGGCUCCUGGGAAGCUGAGAGCAUCGGCGUGGGAGUUCGUCAGACAGGGGCAAGUUCCAACCGCAGCUCAGUGACCUCAGACAAGCCCCCUCACCUCGCAGAACCAGGUUCUUCUUCAGAGUUGUAGGAAGGAGUGGAGGAGGGUCUCCGCAUGUCAGAUGUCCACACAGUGCCUGGGAGCUGAGGUUGUCAUGGUUACCAAGAGGCCAGUCUCAGGGCUGCUGUGAUGACCUGGGCUGCUCUCCCAUUCCCAAGAAGGGGAGAACUCCUCAGAUUCCCUACUCUGCUCUUCUUGCUCCCUCCCAAGCAAUACAUGAGCAGGAAUUUGUCCUCUGCAGGAAUGUGCAGCGAGAAAGUCUCCUUUUUUGAUGAGACAGCGAUGAGGUGAUGUCUGGUUUUUUAUAUCCUCACUUGCUGAACUGGUGCCAGAUGUAAGAGUCCAGGCUGGAUUCCAUUAGCCAUAUUUGUCCUCUGGGCUCCCAGCCCUGCAGGACCUUCUGGGGGCCCACCUUGAGACCCUCCAGUUGGUAAGAAGUUGGCUGGGGCAAAUGAUGCAGCCCUAAGACGAACCAUUUCCACUGGGGACUCAGGCAGGGUCCCUGAGAGCCUGACUUACUCGAGUCUUUUCUUUAAAAAUUAAAAAAACAAGGCUGGGCGCGGUGGCUCACGCCUGUAAUCCCAGCACUUUGGGAGGCCGAGGCGAGUGGAUCACGAGGUCAGGAGAUUGAGCCCAUCCUGGCUAACAUGGUGAAACCCCUUCUCUACUAAAAAUACAAAAAAUUAGUCGGGCAUGGUGGUGGGCACCUGUAGUCCCAGCUACUCAGGAGGCUGAGGCAGGAGAAUGGCGUGAACCCGGGAGGUGGAGGUUGCAGUGAGCCGAGAUCGCACCACUGCACUCCAGCCUGGGCAACACCGUGAGACGCCAUCUCAAAAAAAAAAAAAAAUUAACAAAACACAUUGAUCUUUUUUUUUUAUUUUUACCGAAGUAAGAAACCCUUUGAAGUUUAGGAGCUGCAACUAAUCCACGUUGAAGGCUAAUCGGAGGCCUAGAUAGGUUAAUACCUUUCCCAGAGGAACCCAGUGGUAAAUGUAAAUGUCAGAUUGAUCAAUUGUAGAUUGAACUUCAGAAGCUGGAGUCCUCAUUACUAUUCUGGGGUGAUGGUCGACUCUAUUUGCUCAACAGAAGGAUCAGUGGCCUGGAGAAUUUGAGAUAGUUGGUGAUAACAUUAUAGGAUUCUAUUUUAAAUGGGAAAGAAAUUCCUAAAAGUUAAACGCAUGUUAAAAAAAACUAUAUUAAGGCCGGGUACAGUGGCUCUUGCCUGUAAUCCCAGCACUCUGGGAAGCCGAGGUGGGAGGAUCGCUUGAGCCUAGGAGUUCCAGAUUAGCCUGGGCAACACAGUGAGACCCCAUCUCUAAAAAAAAGAACAAAAUUAGCUGGCAUGUCAUUGUGCACUUGUAGUCUCAGCUCCUUGGGAGGCUGAGGUGGGAGGAUUGCUUGAGCACAGAAGGGUGAGGCUGCAGUGAACUGUGAUCACACCACUGUGCUCCAGCCUGGGUGACAGAACAAUACCUUGUCUCAAAAAUAAAAAAAUUCAUAUACAAAAAUGCCUGAGGUAUACAAUGAAAGCUCUUGAAAGCCACUGUCUACAGAUAAGCAUUAGAGCCACUUACACAGAUUUUUUCAGAUUUUUCUAUGCAUUUAUAUGUUAAAAUUUAUAUUUUUAAAAGAUUAACACUAUACAUUCUGUUUUGCAGUUUGCUUUUGCAAAUAGCAGUAGCUCCUGAAAUGUGGAAAUUCUUUACCUGGCUGAUUCAUGACAAACUUGGUGGGAGAAGUAGCUGGUAAAGUUUUAUGCAAAAUUGUGUGUUGUGUGUAUGUGAGCAUUCUUUAGAAAUAGUGACUAUGAUUCUCAUCAGAAUCUUAGGAAAGAUUCAGACCCAAGACCCUUGAUUUCAGAUGGGGAAGGGACUCAGUCCUCGGGCUGGCCUUGAAGGAUGAGGACAAGAAUGCUGCAGUCGCCUGGCCCUGGGCAUCCUGCCCUGGCCUUGGAGAGGAGCUGCAUUCUGCAGAGCCAGAAGGAGGACAAGAGAGGCAGCCUGCCCAAGCACCAGGCUGAGCCUCUGCAGUCCCUGCCAGGAGAAGACUUACAGCCGCCGGGAGCUUGGGAAGGUUACAGAGAAAAAGCCUCUCGCAGCACUUGGGAGGACACUGCCUGCAGCACCGCGCCUGCUGUGGGCCUGCUCCAGGGUCAGGGAAGCCUCUGAGGGACAGGCUUGGGGCACAAGGGUGGGUGAGGGGCAGGGGAGAGAGUGUACUCUCUGGGCCAGGACCCCGGCACACCUAGCACACAGACCAUGGGGAGGGUGCCAAACACAGGACUUGGCUACAUUUUGUUACUGUCACUUUGAGUAUUACCUGUGCAAUCGAGCAGGCUUUAUGGAUCUCAGACUGCCCAGGACUUUUCUGGCUGCUAUGGGAGGAUGUAAGAUUUACCAAGAACACCAGCCACCACCCAGAAAGCAGGUUUCUCAUGUGAGCCCUGCGCCAAGCACUGUAUGUGCACAUGCCAGAUUUUAAUUUGCUGUGGGGAGGUGCUUUUAUACUCGCCACUUGACAGUGGCCCCCAAAAAGCCAAGAAACCUGUCCAAGGCCCAUGGGAUCAGCAGGUGUUGAUUUAAUACUGGUACCCCCAGUUGCAGAGUCCCCAGCCUCAACCAUAGGCACUCUCCUCUGCCCCCCGGGGAGGGACUGCCACCCUGACUCAGGGAUGACCUCUGCGAGAUGAGAGCAGAGGGGUUUUGUUCUGUUUCAACCUUUUUUGUUGUUUGUUUUUGAGACGGAGUUUUUGCUGUGUUGCCCAGGCUGGAGUGCAGUGGUGCAAUCUCAGCUCACUGCAGCCUCCACCUCCUGGGUUUAAGCAAUUCUCCUGCCUCAGCCUCCUGAGUAGCUGGGAUUACAGAUGCAUCUCACCAUACCCAGCUAAUUUUUUGUGUUUUUAGUAGAGAUGGGGUUUCACCAUGUUGGCCAGGCUGGUCUCAAACUCCUGACCUCAGGUGAUCCACCCACCUCGACCUCCCAAAGUGCUAGGAUUACAAGUGUGAGCCACUGAGCCCGGCCUCAACCUUUUUUUAUUAUUAUUUUUUGAGAUGGAGUCUCACUCCAUCGCUAGGCUGGAGUGCAGUGGCACAAUCUCGGCUCACUGCAACCUCCACCUCCUGGGUUCAAGUGAUUCUCCUGCCUCAGCCUCCUGAGUAGCUGGGACUACAGGCGCCCGCCACUACACCCGGCUAAUUUUUUGUACUUUUAGUAGAGAUGGGGUUUCACCAUGUUGGCCAGGAUGGUCUCAAUCUCCUGACCUCGUGAUCCACUCACCUCAGCCUCCCAAAGUGCUGGUAUUACAGGUGUGAGCCAUCGCGCUUGGCUUUUUUUUUUUUUUUUUUUUAAACCACAAGCAUGUGUCACUUUUAUAGUUAAGAGGAAAAACAAACUUUUUCUAAAAAUCUGUAUUUCUGAAAUGGUUAGCAGGAGCCCAGCUGAGUCUGGGGUGCUGCAGGCCUCCUGCCUGUGGGGACCUCUCCUAGGCACCUCCUUUCUUAGACCCAUCCUUAGGGCUGGGAGAAACUCCUUCCACAGUGUUCUUGGCUUCAAAGCAGGGCAGGCUUCCCAGAUGGGGAAGCUCAUAGGCUGGUGGGGGUGAGGUGCGGUGGGGAGCGGCAGAGAGACCUUCCAGGCCAGGUGUCCAGCCUAGAAAAAGGCUCAGAAGUGUGCAUGAGUGUGAGCUGUUGUUGGGAAUAAGAAGAUUGUCCCAGGAGGGCCCAGUAUGCACUAGAGGCUUAUAAGUAAUACUGCUGGGGGCCAGGUGUGGUGGCACGCACCUGUAAUCCCAGCGCUUUGGGAGGCCAAGGUGGGCAGAUCACCUGAGGUCAGGAGUUCGAGACCAGCCUGGCCAACAUGGUGAAAUCCUGUCUCUACUAAAAAUACAAAAAUUAGCCAGGCGUGGUGGUGGGAGCCUGUAAUGCCAGCUAUUUAGGAGGCUGAGAUAUGAGAAUCACUUGAACCCAGGAGGCAGAGGUUUCAGUGAGCUGAGAUUACACUGCUGCACUCCAGCCUGGGUGACAGAGUGAGACUCCUCAAAAAAAACAACAACAACAACAACAAAAAGAAAUAGGCCGGGCAUGGUGGCUCAUACCUAUAAUCCCAGCACUUUGGGAGGCCGAGGUGGGUGGAUAACCUGAGGUCAGGAGUUCGAGACCAGCCUGGCCAACAUGUUGAAACCCUGUCUCUACUAAAAAUACAAAAAUUAGGCAGGCGUGGUGGCACGCACCUGUAGUCCCAGCUACUCAGUGGGCUGAGGCAUGAGAAUCGCUUGAACCCAGGAGGCGGAGAUUGCAGUGAGCUGAGAUCGUGCCACUGCACUCCAGCUUGGGCAACAGAGCAAGACUCUGUCAAAAAAAAAAAAGAGAAAGAGAAAAGAAAGAAAAAAGAAUGAAAGAAAGAGAA
rnacentral:lncRNA from 1 species